rnacentral:rRNA from 1 species
UACGAAGGGUGCAAACGUUGCUCGGAAUUACUGGGCGUAAAGGGCUCGUAGGCGGCCAACUAAGUCAGACGUGAAAUCCCUCGGCUUAACCGGGGAACUGCGUCUGAUACUGGAUGGCUUGAGGUUGGGAGAGGGAUGCGGAAUUCCAGGUGUAGCGGUGAAAUGCGUAGAUAUCUGGAGGAACACCGGUGGCGAAGGCGGCAUCCUGGACCAAUUCUGACGCUGAGGAGCGAAAGCCAGGGGAGCAAACGGG